GCCUGGGUGGCUCAGUUGGUUGAGCGUCCGACUUCGGCUCAGGUCAUGAUCUCGCGGUCCGUGAGUUCGAGCCCCGCGUCAGGCU
rnacentral:tRNA from 1 species